AUUGAACGCUGGCGGCAUGCCUUACACAUGCAAGUCGAACGGCAGCACGGGUGCUUGCACCUGGUGGCGAGUGGCGAACGGGUGAGUAAUACAUCGGAACAUGUCCUGUAGUGGGGGAUAGCCCGGCGAAAGCCGGAUUAAUACCGCAUACGAUCUACGGAUGAAAGCGGGGGACCGUCGGGCCUCGCGCGAUAGGGUUGGCCGAUGGCUGAUUAGCUAGUUGGUGGGGUAAAGGCCUACCAAGGCGACGAUCAGUAGCUGGUCUGAGAGGACGACCAGCCACACUGGGACUGAGACACGGCCCAGACUCCUACGGGAGGCAGCAGUGGGGAAUUUUGGACAAUGGGCGAAAGCCUGAUCCAGCAAUGCCGCGUGUGUGACGAAGGCCUUCGGGUUGUAAAGCACUUUUGUCCGGAAAGAAAUCCUUGGCCCUAAUACGGUCGGGGGAUGACGGUACCGGAAGAAUAAGCACCGGCUAACUACGUG
rnacentral:rRNA from 1 species